GGUUUUACGACAUCACCUUCCUUACACCUAGAGCCGCUCGCUCUACGGCCGGAACCUUGUUGCUAGGGAGAGGACGGUUUGCGGCAACCGUAGAAGCAGCUGAGUUUGAAUUGAGGGGAGAGGGAAAAGUUUCCCUCAGGUGUCGAGGGAUGGGGGAGGGGGCCGUUGGGAAACUGUGGGGACGUGGUCAGAAGGGCGGCAGGCAGUCGGAGUGAGAAAGGAUAAUUUAUUAGUGAUACGUCUUCCUUACAAUUUGUGGAAGGCUUCACCAAUGAAGCCAUUUGGGCUUGGAGUUUUCUUCAGGAAAUCCUCACCAAGGAGCCUCUGACCUCUUGAGACAGUGGAAGAAGCCCUGUGGUUCCAGAGAAACUCAAGACCAAAGCUAUCGAGUGGUGCCCCACUGCACCCCCCAACCAAGGAGGAGGCACAGCCUAGAGGUGGACAGCCUGGAAUAUUCCACUGCACACUGAAAUCAUGUUGGGAGAGAAAUCAGGCUAUUCUAACUUGCCCGUUAAUGUAUAGAAUUACUUAGAAUUAAUUCCACUGAGUUGUUUCUAUUUGAAAAGAACUGUAUCAGGAACUGGAAGUGUAAAAUGCUGUCCAAUAAAGAAGGCAUAAUUAGAUGAGGAUGUAAGUUAUUACAAUGUAAAGUUAAAUCGGAAGCAGAUUUAACAUGAAGUGAAAGAAGUCCCAGUGUCCGUGCCCCUCACUUACACGGGCCCCUUCUGAUACUCCAGGAGAGACCCUAGAAACAUAGGUGGUCAUAUAUUCUGGUAAACUUGGCAAACGCGAGUUUUUUUUAAACUACAGUUAACCUGUCUCUUUCCCAUCUUACUUUCCCUACUGUUGAAAGGGCCAAUGACAUUUUUGAGACCCAAAACUGAUUGCCAGCUGCACUGGUGUAGGAGUGAUUUCUAGAAACGUCUUACUACCCCUGUGCUGAUUCAUUGAGUUCAUGGCUUGAGGGUACAGAGCAGAGGCUCUACCAUGACGGGAACAUACACUGUGGCACUCAGCUUAGGAAGUAGGUGGGUCCUGGAGGAGAUGCAAGGGUCUGAAGUGUGUGUAGCCAGAAAUGAGUCUGGAGAAUUCUUCCCAUCAGACGUGUAGAACUGUAAAUGGAGGAUUUGAUUCUCAGUAGUGCCUGGUCAGAACAGAACUUGCCAAAGUCAGGAAUAUUCUUAAUAACACAGCAUAAGCAGUUAUACGCGUGUACACGCACCACCCAUUCUUUCUGUGGGUAAUUGCACAAAAUAAUAGAAUCUGUAGGUCUCGAGGCACAACCCGGCGGGAGUACUACAAAGGAGUCCAUCUAUAUGUGAAGUUCUCUAUCCUAGUCAUUCCAGUUACCAACAAUAAAAACAUGUGACCAGCCAUCACAGAGGAAAGACAGGUAGCUACUGAACGAAAAUGUUAUUUUUCUAGAUUUUGAAAUAUUCGUUGUAUUCGUUAACUCAUUAAGACUUGAUUUUGGUGUGAUUUUUUUAUUUUAAAUAAAUAUGCAAGUUCGGGGCGCCUGGGUAGCGCAGUCGUUAAGCGUCUGCCUUCAGCUCAGGGCGUGAUCCUGGUGUUCCGGGAUCGAGUCCCACA